rnacentral:rRNA from 1 species
AGAGUUUGAUCCUGGCUCAGGAUGAACGCUAGCGGCAGGCUUAACACAUGCAAGUCGAGGGGCAGCAUAAUGGAUAGCAAUAUCUAUGGUGGCGACCGGCGCACGGGUGCGUAACGCGUAUGCAACCUACCUUUAACAGGGGGAUAACACUGAGAAAUUGGUACUAAUACCCCAUAACAUCAUGAGAGGCAUCUUUUAUGGUUGAAAAUUCCGAUGGUUAGAGAUGGGCAUGCGUUGUAUUAGCUAGUUGGUGGGGUAACGGCUCACCAAGGCGACGAUACAUAGGGGGACUGAGAGGUUAACCCCCCACACUGGUACUGAGACACGGACCAGACUCCUACGGGAGGCAGCAGUGAGGAAUAUUGGUCAAUGGACGCAAGUCUGAACCAGCCAUGCCGCGUGCAGGAAGACGGCUCUAUGAGUUGUAAACUGCUUUUGUACGAGGGUAAACUCACCUACGUGUAGGUGACUGAAAGUAUCGUACGAAUAAGGAUCGGCUAACUCCGUGCCAGCAGCCGCGGUAAUACGGAGGAUUCAAGCGUUAUCCGGAUUUAUUGGGUUUAAAGGGUGCGUAGGCGGUUUGAUAAGUUAGAGGUGAAAUCCCGGGGCUUAACUCCGGAACUGCCUCUAAUACUGUUGGACUAGAGAGUAGUUGCGGUAGGCGGAAUGUAUGGUGUAGCGGUGAAAUGCUUAGAGAUCAUACAGAACACCGAUUGCGAAGGCAGCUUACCAAACUAUAUCUGACGUUGAGGCACGAAAGCGUGGGGAGCAAACAGGAUUAGAUACCCUGGUAGUCCACGCAGUAAACGAUGAUAACUCGUUGUCGGCGAUACACAGUCGGUGACUAAGCGAAAGCGAUAAGUUAUCCACCUGGGGAGUACGUUCGCAAGAAUGAAACUCAAAGGAAUUGACGGGGGCCCGCACAAGCGGAGGAACAUGUG